GGGCGCUUGGUUUAGUGGUAUAACAUAUCAUUCGCAUCAGCUUUUGCGUAUCUUGAUAGGGUCGCCGGUUCGAUUCCGGCAGUGUCCA
rfam:Emmonsia sp. CAC-2015a strain CBS 136260 supercont2.8, whole genome shotgun sequence.